CAUGUGCUUUUGAUCCAAAGAGCAGUCUGGUAAAACAGACUCCACCUAUGUUUGUUUGUAUACGCAUGUAAUUGUGCAUCUGGACAGCUUGCUGCAAACAUCCUAACUAACCUGCAUUGACUACACACCUGUAGCCAAACCUAUAACCUAACCCCUUAGCUAGCAUUUCCUGGAAAGACUGAACAAAAAUGCAGGGCUUCAAGCAACAAUGCAUGCGUGACAUUCACAUGAUACUCACCUAAUUUCAUUAAGGAAGCCAGCAGGAUCCAUAAUGAGAUCUCAAAGGGGGCCUGUAUGUAUUGGUAGUUGAGGGUGAGCACAGGGAAUGCCUUUUUAGUGUAGUUUUCCUCCUUCUCUUGGGGGUUGUCCACGUAGUCAUUGUGGGUGGUAUCGGGAGAGCUAGCAGCCCCGAGAGGAAGCACGGAUCCCUGCAGUAAAACCAGCACGAUCAGCAGGAGCAGCCCCCGCUCCGCGGUGUUUCACAAGUUGUGUCAGUGGCUAUGAAUGUCCUCCUUGGUGAAAGAUGUCAUUGUUGAUGCUGGAGGCUCAGCGGCAUCCCCCUCCACGCCUCUUCUUCCCUCCGACUGUCCGAGAAACACGUCCGUGAGGCGGCUGCGGUGCUCAGAUACUGACCUUGAAGAGAAGCCACACUGCUGUCACGUUGCAUUUUUGCCGCGUAGCCUAUGUAAUUCAACUUUUUGAUACAAGUGUCCGUAUAUGCGGCAUUCCCAGCACCGUGUUCAGGGGAGGACAAGAAGACCUCGGUCGGGACUCAGCCCAGAGGGAGGAUGCGGUGGGGAGGAUGCGGUGGGGUGGACUCGAGGUGUGAUCUCUGCCCAGCCUUCAGUGGCUUUUCCCGGGUUGUCAAACGAAGAGUGGCGACUGGUCUUGUCUGCGUUGGUGUUUAGCUCCAUACAACCUUCAAAAAGCACACCCUUUCGCGGAGGUUUGGUGGAUGGGAGGAGGAGGAGUGGUAGGGGAGUGGGAUGGACGACUAUACUGACACCUAUAGGAAUGGAGGGUUAAGGUGUAUCAUCAUGAGUAAGAAAAAUGAAUAGCAACUCAGUAACUGCUGUAACAAAUUCUUCAGAUACACAUCAAUUCCUUUUUGGGAUUUGCUUUGUAUGGUUGUUAUAGGCAGUAAUCUGAUACUGUUGAAUUAAAAUGGCUCCGGGUCAUUCUUGCUUCCACAGGGAGGUCAAAGGUCAAUUACAGACCACAGCCCAGAGCGUUAACCAUUAUGUUGGUUGACUGUAAGAAGCCAGUUACAUAAGUGUCAUCAUAUGGAUCACUCAAACAGUCCGUAUAGAUAGCACUAAUCACAUAAAUAUAACCAAGUGUGCCUUUUUCCUAAUCUCAGAUGAUGGAAAUUAUGCCGGGGUACAUCAGAUCGCUCCAUGAUCUGAAUACUUCAUUAAGCAUUAUGUGACCCAGUAUUCUGAGCAAUGAUAUUCACAAUAACAGGCUGAAGAGUGGGAGUGCAUACAUUUACAAAAAAUCCCUUUAGCUGGAAUUGAAAACAGGUUAUACAGGACAUUAUGUUUACCAAGAGGUCAGGGGUCAGUUUCGCUCCAGGGCCCCGAGUGCAGUUUCAGCCCAUUGCUCAAAGACACACCCAGGAUGUAUUGAACCAGGAGGAUUAUGUUUAAAGAUACAAACAGCAUACUAAUGAGUAUAUUGUUUGUUUUUUGUUUCCUGGUGUGUGGGAGUGGCCCUGAAAAGUACUUGAAUUACAAGUUAAAAAAUGAUGACUCAACAUGUGCUUCUAGUGGAAGCACGCCUUCCACAUUUAGCAACGUAUCAUCUAUUCAUCCAUUCAACAAAGACCUGAAGUAGGCCUGCUGUUUUAGAAGGGUUGCUUGUGUUGAAGUGACACUACAGACUUAUAAAAAACAGUAAUGUUGACCUUGUGCCAAAAAAAGAGCAAUCUUUGAGAGUGCUUAGGUUUUUGUACAAUGCAAAAUGUAAAUGUGGAUGUACUGCUUUAUUCUGUUAUGAUAGUAAAUGGAGUACCCUUGGGUUUUGGAUCAACUGUAAUGAGCAUGUUUUAAUACACCAAAUGAUUAAUCAAGAAAACACUUGGUAGAUACAUUGAUAUUGAAAAUUAAGAAGAUCAGCCUUUGUAAAGCUCAUUUUAAAAUGAGAAACAAAUAAAAAUCCAAACAAUC